AUGAGGGAGAUCUGGGUGAGACAUCUGUCACCCUAUUGACUGUCAGAGGUCAUUCAAUUAAUCUAUUGGGCUAGGCUGGUGUCCCCUUCCUUCCUUACCAAAGUUUCUGGUUUUGUGCUGGGUCAAAGAGAAGACCUUCCCUGAUAGAGGGCUGGUCUCUAUAGGAGCUUUGCUGCUAGAACCUCCAGACACACUCUCAAGGUCCAUUUCUAGGAGAACCUAAGGCAGUCAAGCUCCUAACACUCCUGACACAUCCUGCACUGCCUGUGGCAGUCUA
rnacentral:snRNA from 1 species